UGGCGGCAUGUCUAACACAUGCAAGUCGAACGGUAACGCGGGGGCAACCCUGGCGACGAGUGGCGGACGGGUGAGUAAUGCUUGGGAAUCUACCCAGUAGCGGGGGAUAACCUAGGGAAACUUAGGCUAAUACCGCAUACGACCUACGGGUGAAAGCGGGGGAUCGUAAGACCUCGCACUAUUGGAUGAGCCCAAGUCGGAUUAGCUAGUUGGUAGGGUAACGGCCUACCAAGGCGACGAUCCGUAGCUGGUCUGAGAGGACGAUCAGCCACACUGGGACUGAGACACGGCCCAGACUCCUACGGGAGGCAGCAGUGGGGAAUAUUGGACAAUGGGGGCAACCCUGAUCCAGCAAUGCCGCGUGUGUGAAGAAGGCCUGCGGGUUGUAAAGCACUUUCAGUAGGGAAGAAAAGCUCGGGGCGAAUAUCCCCGGGUCUUGACGUUACCUAAGGAAGAAGCACCGGCUAACUCCGUGCCAGCAGCCGCGGUAAUACGGAGGGUGCGAGCGUUAAUCGGAAUUACUGGGCGUAAAGCGCACGUAGGCGGUUGGGUAAGUCGGAUGUGAAAGCCCUGGGCUUAACCUGGGAACUGCAUUCGAUACUGCCCGGCUAGAGUAUGGGAGAGGGAAGCGGAAUUUCCGGUGUAGCGGUGAAAUGCGUAGAUAUCGAAAGGAACACCAAUGGCGAAGGCAGCUUCCUGGCCCAAUACUGACGCUCAGGUGCGAAAGCGU
rnacentral:rRNA from 1 species